ACGCUCGACACCUACGGGAGGCAGCAGUGGGGAAUAUUGCACAAUGGGGGAAACCCUGAUGCAGCGACGCCGCGUGAAGGAAGAAGUAUCUCGGUAUGUAAACUUCUAUCAGCAGGGAAGAAAGUGACGGUACCUGACUAAGAAGCCCCGGCUAACUACGUGCCAGCAGCCACGGUAAUCUGAGCGGGCUGGCAAGGC
rnacentral:rRNA from 1 species